rnacentral:rRNA from 1 species
CCUGAGAAACGGCUACCACAUCCAAGGAAGGCAGCAGGCGCGCAAAUUACCCACUCCCGGCACGGGGAGGUAGUGACGAAAAAUAACGAUACGGGACUCAUCCGAGGCCCCGUAAUCGGAAUGAGUACACUUUAAAUCCUUUAACGAGGAUCAAUUGGAGGGCAAGUCUGGUGCCAGCAGCCGCGGUAAUUCCAGCUCCAAUAGCGUAUAUUAAAGUUGUUGCGGUUAAAAAGCUCGUAGUUGAAUCUGUGUCCCACACUGUCGGUACACCGCUCGGCUUAACUGGCAUGUCUUGUGGGACGUCCUACCGGUGGGUUUAGCCCGUCAAACGGCGGCCCAACUAAAAAUCCUAUCACGGUGCCUCUUUACCGAGUGUCGAGAUGGGCCGGUACGUUUACUUUGAACAAAUUAGAGUGCUUAAAGCAGGCUAAAUUUUGCCUGAAUAUUCUGUGCAUGGAAUAAUGGAAUAGGACCUCGUUUCUAUUUUGUUGGUUUUCGGAAGCUCGAGGUAAUGAUUAAUAGGGACAACUGGGGGCAUUCGUAUUGCGACGUUAGAGGUGAAAUUCUUGGACCGUCGCAAGACGUACAGAAGCGAAAGCAUUUGCCAAAUGUGUUUUCAUCAAUCAAGAACGAAAGUUAGAGGUUCGAAGGCGAUCAGAUACCGCCCUAGUUCUAACCAUAAACGAUGCCAGCUAGCGAUCUGCGCACGUUCCUCCGAUGACUCGGUAGGCAGCUUCCGGGAAACCAAAGCUUUUGGGUUCCGGGGGAAGUAUGGUUGCAAAGCUGAAACUUAAAGGAAUUGACGGAAGGGCACCACCAGGAGUGGAGCCUGCGGCUUAAUUUGACUCAACACGGGAAACCUCACCAGGCCCAGACACUGGAAGGAUUGACAGAUUGAGAGCUCUUUCUUGAUUCAGUGGGUGGUGGUGCAUGGCCGUUCUUAGUUGGUGGAGCGAUUUGUCUGGUUAAUUCCGAUAACGAACGAGACUC